UACGUAGGGUGCGAGCGUUAAUCGGAAUUACUGGGCGUAAAGCGUGCGCAGGCGGUUUUGUAAGACAGAGGUGAAAUCCCCGGGCUCAACCUGGGAACUGCCUUUGUGACUGCAAGGCUUGAGUGCGGCAGAGGGGGAUGGAAUUCCGCGUGUAGCAGUGAAAUGCGUAGAUAUGCGGAGGAAUACCGAUGGCGAAGGCAGGUCUCUGGGCUGACACUGACGCUCAUGCACGAAAGCGUGGGGAGCAAACAGG
rnacentral:rRNA from 1 species